AUCCCGUGAUGAGGACAUUUAUGAAGUAAUUCCUUGAAUCUCUCCCAUGCCUCAUACAAGGAUUCAUCAUCCAAUUGUGAAAAAAUGGUUAUCUCAUUUCGUAACU
rnacentral:snoRNA from 1 species